rnacentral:rRNA from 1 species
UAAAUUUCAGGCUGAUUUGGAGAGGGGAUGGAUUUCUGGGUAGGGGGGAAAGGUAGAUAUCAGGAGGGACACCUGUGGCGAAAGGGGCUCACUGCCCAUAACUGACGUUGAUGCAGAAAGGUAGGGGAGCAAACAGGAUUAGAUACCUGGUAGUCCUAGCCCUAAACGAUGAUUGCUUGGUGUAUCGGGUACCCAAUCCCGAUGUGCGCCAGCUAACGCGAUAAGCAAUCCGCCUGGGGAGUACGGUCGCAAGACUGAAACUCAAAGGAAUUGACGGGGGCCCGCACAAGCGGUGGAGCAUGUGUUCAAUUCGACGCAACGCGAAGAACCUUACCUGGGCUCGAAAUGUAGUGGACCGGGGUGGAAACAUCCCUUCCCGCAAGGGCUGCUAUAUAGGUGCUGCAUGGCUGUCGUCAGCUCGUGCCGUGAGGUGUUGGGUUAAGUCCCUCAACGAGCGCAACCCCUAUGUUUAGUUGCCAGCAUGUAAUGGUGGGGACUCUAAACAGACUGCCUAUGCAAAUAGAGAGGAAGGAGGGGACGACGUCAAGUCAUCAUGGCCCUUACGUCCGGGGCUACACACGUGCUACAAUGGGCAGUACAGAGGGCAGCUACCUGGUAACAGGAUGCCAAUCUCAAAAAGCUGUUCACAGUUCGGAUCGGGGUCUGCAACUCGACCCCGUGAAGUUGGAUUCGCUAGUAAUCGCAGAUCAGCAAUGCUGCGGUGAAUACGUUCCCGGGCCUUGUACACACCGCCCGUCAAGCCAUGGAAGCUGGGGGUGCCUGAAGUGCGUAACCGCAAGGAGCGUCCUAGGGUAAAACCGGUAACUGGGGCUAAGUCGUAACAAGGUAAAUGCGGA